rnacentral:rRNA from 1 species
ACUCAAAUGAAUUGACGGGGGCCCGCACAAGCGGUGGAGCAUGUGGUUUAAUUCGAUGCAACGCGAAGAACCUUACCUACACUUGACAUCCUUGGAAUCCUGCAGAGAUGUAGGAGUGCCUUCGGGAGCCAAGAGACAGGUGCUGCAUGGCUGUCGUCAGCUCGUGUCGUGAGAUGUUGGGUUAAGUCCCGUAACGAGCGCAACCCUUGUCCUUAGUUGCCAGCGGGUAAUGCCGGGAACUUUAAGGAGACUGCCGGUGAUAAACCGGAGGAAGGUGGGGAUGAGGUCAAGUCAUCAUGGCCUUUAUGUGUAGGGCUACACACGUGCUACAAUGGGAAGUACAGAGGGUUGCCAACCCGCGAGGGGGAGCCAAUCUCAAAAAACUUCUCGUAGUCCGGAUUGGAGUCUGCAACUCGACUCCAUGAAGUUGGAAUCGCUAGUAAUCGCGAAUCAGAAUGUCGCGGUGAAUACGUUCCCGGGCCUUGCACACACCGCCCGU